GGAUUUCCGAAUGGGGCAACCCGGCAAGAGUAACGUCUUGUCACCCUACUCUAGAGGUAGGGAGGAAACACCCGAUGAACUGAAACAUCUAAGUAGUCGGAGGAAAAGAAAUCAAAGAGAUUCCCUGAGUAGCGGCGAGCGAAACGGGAAGAGCCCAAACCGGAGGACUUCGGUUCUCCGGGGUUGCGGACCUGCAACAAACCGGACACUUUAGUGGAAGCAUCUGGGAAGGUGCGGCAAAGAGAGUGAGACCCUCGUACACGAAAGAGUGAAAGGCGGGCAGGGAUCCAGAGUACCACAGGGCACGAGGAACCCGGUGGGAAGCAGGGUGGACCACCAUCCAAGGCUAAAUACAUCGAAACGACCGAUAGCGAAAAGUACCGUGAGGGAAAGGUGAAAAGAACCCCGGGAGGGGAGUGCAAAAGAACCUGAAACCGUAUGUCUACAAACAGUCGGAGCACUUUACAUGUGCGACGGCGUGCCUAUUGAAGAAUGAACCGGCGAGUUAAUUUAUGCUGCGAGGUUAAGCGGGAGACGCGGAGCCGAAGCGAAAGCGAGUCUUAAGAGGGCGGCAGUAGCAUGGAUUAGACCCGAAACCACAGUGAUCUAUGCAUGUCCAGGUUGAAGCUCAGGUAAAAAUGAGUGGAGGACCGAACCCGUGCGUGUUGAAAAACGUUGGGAUGAGGUGUGCAUAGGGGUGAAAUGCCAAUCGAACGUGGAGAUAGCUGGUUCUCCCCGAAAUAGCUUUAGGGCUAGCCUCAGGCGAAUAACCAUAGAGACGGUAGAGCACUGAUCGGGCAAGGGGGCGUAAAGCCUACCGACCCCAGUCAAACUGCGAAUGGCUCAUAUGGGCAGCCUGGGAGUCAGAAUGCGAGUGAUAAGACCCGUAUUCAAGAGGGAAACAGCCCAGACCGCCGGCUAAGGUCCCAAAUGCUGUGCUAAGUGGAAAAGGAUGUAGGACUUCGAAAACAACCAGGAUGUUGGCUCAGAAGCAGCCACCAUUAAAAGAGUGCGUAAUAGCUCACUGGUCGAGAGGCCCUGCGCCGAAAAUAUCCGGGGCUCAAGCACAGAACCGAAGCCGCGGCAGGGUGUACUAAGGUACACACUGGGUAGGGGAGCGUUCCUGUUUGGACGAAGGCAGACCGGAAGGACUGCUGGACGAACAGGAAGUGAGAAUGCCGGUAUGAGUAGCGAAACGACAGGUGAGAAUCCUGUCCACCGAAAGCCUAAGGAAUCCCGGGCAACGCUCGUCGUCCCGGGGUAAGUCGGGACCUAAGCCGAGGCGAAAAGCAUAGGCGAUGGACAACUGGCGAAAAUUCCAGUACCGGGCGACUUCGUUUGAGGAUGGAGUGACGCAGGAAGGAAGCUGAGCGCGCGAAUGGUAGAGCGCGUCGAAGGCGGUAGGCUGGUAUGGAGGCAAAUCCCCAUACUAUAUAGGCCGAGAACCGAUAGAUAGGAAAGACUACGGUCAAUCUGAAUUCAGCCGCACUACACUGCCAAGAAAAGCUUCUAACGAGAAGUCGUCUGCCCGUACCAAAACCGACACAGGUAGGCGGGGAGAGAAUCCUAAGGUGCGCGGGAAAACCCUCGUUAAGGAACUCGGCAAAAUGCAUCCGUAACUUCGGGAAAAGGAUGGCCGCUUGGGGUGAAGCUUUUUACAAGUGGAGCUUUGGGCGGCGGCAGAAAAGAGGCCCAAGCGACUGUUUACCACAAACACAGGUGCCUGCGAAAGCGCAAGCUGAAGUAUAGGUGCUGACGCCUGCCCGGUGCAGGAAGGUUAAGGAGAGUUGUUAGUCCUAGAGAUGAAGCAGCGAACUGAAGCCCCUGUAAACGGCGGCCGUAACUAUAACGGUCCUAAGGUAGCGAAAUUCCUUGUCGGGUAAGUUCCGACCCGCACGAAAGGCGUAACGAUUUGGGCACUGUCUCAACGAGGGACCCGGUGAAAUUGAAAUACCUGUGAAGAUGCAGGUUACCCGCGACUGGACAGAAAGACCCCAUGGAGCUUUACUGCAGCUUGGCAUUGGUCUUUGGCAUAU
rnacentral:rRNA from 1 species